CGACGUCCGUGUCCGCAAGGUCCUGCUGAAUGGGGACGUAUGAAUCAGGACGUAUCUCACAGGUAAAAGGAUUUACGAAAUGUGCAAGAUUUGUUGUGUCGGUUAUGGCCUGCUGACUUGUUUCGGUGUCCUAAGACAGGUACUGUGAAUUGUAGCAGAAACCCAAAUGGCAUUCUCAAAGAAUAUCACAUAAGUAAAUGGCGUCGCUUUGUUUAGAAGUUGAGAUGUUGGCGUUGGCAGGCAGCCUAUGCCUGUAGGUGUUACCGUUGGCCGUUGUUGUUGCCAAGUGCCAAGCCAAUUUCACUAGAUAACUAUGGCUUCUCCCUUCGCCUUCGUACCGUUUGAAACGGCGAAGCUAUUGACAUGCAUAUCUAGGCAGAGUGCUUUGAGGAGCUAGGCUUCGUUUUGUGUACUUUAACAGUGCAUUGCCAGCAUCUGCUUUACCUAGGUUAUUUAAGCCCCUGCUAUCCCGGCUUCCACUACCAAGGCUGCCCUUAACGACCACCCUGAAUCCCUACUGCAUCCUCAAGCCCCUACUCUGAUCCAACUUCAGGAACCAGGGGUGAACCCUGUCAGGAAAACCUCCGGCGCAAGUCGUCGCCCAGCCUGUGCAAAUUCUCAGAUGCGGCAAGCGGUGGAGCUGAGAAAGCCGCGUAUUGGCACGACCGGAUGCACAGAAGGACCACCCGCGGC
rnacentral:lncRNA from 1 species